UGGGGAAUUUUUCGCAAUGGGGGAAACCCUGACGAAGCAACGCCGCGUGGGGGAUGAAGGUCUUCGGAUUGUAAACCCCUGUCGACCGGGACGAAAGUAGUUCGACCCAAUACGUCGGGCUAUCGACUGUACCGGUGGAGGAAGCCACGGCUAACUCUGUGCCAGCAGCCGCGGUAAUACAGAGGUGGCAAGCGUUGUUCGGAAUUACUGGGCGUAAAGGGCGCGUAGGCGGUCUUGUAAGUUCCGUGUGAAAUCCCUCGGCUCAACUGAGGAACCGCACGGAAAACUGCUUGGCUUGAGUUCGGGAGAGGGAAGCGGAAUUCCGGGUGUAGCGGUGAAAUGCGUAGAUAUCCGGAGGAACACCGGUGGCGAAGGCGGCUUCCUGGACCGACACUGACGCUGAGGCGCGAAAGCUAGGGGAGCAAACGGGAUUAGAUACCCCCGUAGUCC
rnacentral:rRNA from 1 species